AUUGAACGCUGGCGGCAGGCCUAACACAUGCAAGUCGAGCGGGGUUUUCGGACCUAGCGGCGGACGGGUGAGUAAUGCGUAGGAAGCUACCUGAUAGAGGGGGAUACCAGUUGGAAACGACUGUUAAUACCGCAUAAUGUCUACGGACCAAAGUGUGGGACCUUCGGGCCACAUGCUAUCGGAUGCGCCUACGUGGGAUUAGCUAGUUGGUGGGGUAAUGGCCCACCAAGGCGACGAUCCCUAGCUGGUUUGAGAGGAUGAUCAGCCACAGUGGAACUGAGACACGGUCCAGACUCCUAGGGGAGGAAGCAGUGGGGAAUAUUGGAAAAUGGGCGCAAGCCUGAUUCAGCCAUGCCGCGUGUGUGAAGAAGGCCUUCGGGUUGUAAAGCACUUUCAGUAGGGAGGAAGGGUGUUGUGUUAAUAGCACAGCAUUUUGACGUUACCUACAGAAGAAGCACCGGCUAACUCUGUGCCAGCAGCCGCGGUAAAAC
rnacentral:rRNA from 1 species